GGGGGCAUAGCUCAGUUGGUAGAGCAGCUGCUUUGCAUACAGCAGGUCGUUGGUUCGAAUCCGAUUGCCUCCA
rnacentral:tRNA from 1 species